rnacentral:rRNA from 1 species
CCGUGUACGUACAAGCAGUGGGAGCACAGGUUUACCUGUGUGACUGCGUACCUUUUGUAUAAUGGGUCAGCGACUUAUAUUCUGUAGCAAGGUUAACCGUAUAGGGGAGCCGGAGGGAAACCGAGUCUUAAUUGGGCGUUAAGUUGCAGGGUAUAGACCCGAAACCCGGUGAUCUAGCCAUGGGCAGGUUGAAGGUUGGGUAACACUAACUGGAGGACCGAACCGACUAAUGUUGAAAAAUUAGCGGAUGACCUGUGGCUGGGGGUGAAAGGCCAAUCAAACCGGGAGAUAGCUGGUUCUCCCCGAAAGCUAUUUAGGUAGCGCCUCGUGAAUUCAUCUCCGGGGGUAGAGCACUGUUUCGGCUAGGGGGCCAUCCCGGCUUACCAACCCGAUGCAAACUGCGAAUACCGGAGAAUGUUAUCACGGGAGACACACGGCGGGUGCUAACGUCCGUCGUGAAGAGGGAAACAACCCAGACCGCCAGCUAAGGUCCCAAAGUCAUGGUUAAGUGGGAAACGAUGUGGGAAGGCCCAGACAGCCAGGAUGUUGGCUUAGAAGCAGCCAUCAUUUAAAGAAAGCGUAAUAGCUCACUGGUCGAGUCGGCCUGCGCGGAAGAUGUAACGGGGCUAAACCAUGCACCGAAGCUGCGGCAGCGA